GAGAAGCUUGCUUCUCUGAUGUUAGCGGCGGACGGGUGAGUAACACGUGGGUAACCUACCUAUAAGACUGGGAUAACUCCGGGAAACCGGGGCUAAUACCGGAUAAUAUUUUGAACCGCAUGGUUCAAUAGUGAAAGACGGUUUCGGCUGUCACUUAUAGAUGGACCCGCGCCGUAUUAGCUAGUUGGUAAGGUANNNGCUUACCAAGGCGACGAUACGUAGCCGACCUGAGAGGGUGAUCGGCCACACUGGAACUGAGACACGGUCCAGACUCCUACGGGAGGCAGCAGUAGGGAAUCUUCCGCAAUGGGCGAAAGCCUGACGGAGCAACGCCGCGUGAGUGAUGAAGGUCUUCGGAUCGUAAAACUCUGUUGUUAGGGAAGAACAAAUUUGUUAGUAACUGAACAAGUCUUGACGGUACCUAACCAGAAAGCCACGGCUAACUACGUGCCAGCAGCCGCGGUAAUACGUAGGUGGCAAGCGUUAUCCGGAAUUAUUGGGCGUAAAGCGCGCGUAGGCGGUUUCUUAAGUCUGAUGUGAAAGCCCACGGCUCAACCGUGGAGGGUCAUUGGAAACUGGGAAACUUGAGUGCAGAAGAGGAGAGUGGAAUUCCAUGUGUAGCGGUGAAAUGCGCAGAGAUAUGGAGGAACACCAGUGGCGAAGGCGGCUCUCUGGUCUGUAACUGACGCUGAUGUGCGAAAGCGUGGGGAUCAAACAGGAUUAGAUACCCUGGUAGUCCACGCCGUAAACGAUGAGUGCUAAGUGUUAGGGGGUUUCCGCCCCUUAGUGCUGCAGCUAACGCAUUAAGCACUCCGCCUGGGGAGUACGACCGCAAGGUUGAAACUCAAAGGAAUUGACGGGGACCCGCACAAGCGGUGGAGCAUGUGGUUUAAUUCGAAGCAACGCGAAGAACCUUACCAAAUCUUGACAUCCUUUGACCGCUCUAGAGAUAGAGUCUUCCCCUUCGGGGGACAAAGUGACAGGUGGUGCAUGGUUGUCGUCAGCUCGUGUCGUGAGAUGUUGGGUUAAGUCCCGCAACGAGCGCAACCCUUAAGCUUAGUUGCCAUCAUUAAGUUGGGCACUCUAGGUUGACUGCCGGUGACAAACCGGAGGAAGGUGGGGAUGACGUCAAAUCAUCAUGCCCCUUAUGAUUUGGGCUACACACGUGCUACAAUGGAUAAUACAAAGGGCAGCGAAUCCGCGAGGCCAAGCAAAUCCCAUAAAAUUAUUCUCAGUUCGGAUUGUAGUCUGCAACUCGACUACAUGAAGCUGGAAUCGCUAGUAAUCGUAGAUCAGCAUGCUACGGUGAAUACGUUCCCGGGUCUUGUACACACCGCCCGUCACACCACGAGAGUUUGUAACACCCGAAGCCGGUGGAGUAACC
rnacentral:rRNA from 1 species